UGGGUCAUCCCUCAUGGCUGUUUCUCUCUCUCUCUCUCUCUCUCUCUCUCUCUCUCUCUCUCUCUCUCUCUGUGUGUGUGUGUGUGUGUGUUUUUUUCCCUGUGAGUUUAGUUUAUUCUUUCUCAGUUUAGUGUUGUAUGCCUUUUCCUUUGCCUGCAAUAAAGCUGCGUUUUUUGAGUUCAUCCCUCGUAUCCGAGAGUCUGCAUUUUGUGUAUAACUCCUGCCUGCACACGUCCGAAUUUGGACAGAAUGACGCGACCACACAAGGGACCCAGCAGCACUCGCUCCUUCUGAAGAGCUCCGAGAGGAUCUCGGUCACUGCGUGGAUCAGCUAUGCAACCAGUGGCUGGGUUUUCCUGUGGAGGAGUAUCGUUGCAUUGUAGCUAGCCGGCUACAGCAAUUGAUUUCAGGUCUUCCUUGGCUACUGAAUUCUCUCCACCCGCUUAUACAGGACUUUCUUCUUAGUACACUGCAUCUCCACCCCCCAGCUGCAACCGCUCACCUACCCGGCCUGCCUAAAGAUUCGCUACCUGGUCUGCCAGUGGACUCGCGGCACAAACUGCCGGACGAAACGCCACCCAGCCAGUCGCCGCCUCCUUCUUCCCAGAGAAAGCGGUGGUCACGCCGCCGUCAUCCUUCGCUCGCCAAGCAAGCUCCGGUGGUCAGUAAAAGUGACUGUUUUACGCCACCCAGCCAGCUCAUGCCAGCACAGGCUUUUUACAAAGCACUGGGAAUAAUAAUUGUUCCACCCAGCAUCUCCACACCUCAGGAGGAGCAGCCACGUCAGAACUGCUCCACAUCACCAUCAGCUUCCCUUGCUGCUCCCACUCCUUCUGCCAGGAGGAAGCGACGUCCACGCUACUGGCAGUCAUCAACAGCGGGCUGGCAUCAUCACCGUCGUGAGCGGCCUUCUGAACUGUGUCACCGCCGUCUUCCACGCGGCCAGCCUCCGGACCAGCUCUGUUGCCGAUGAUGGAUAUUUAAAUCUCCAGGGGUCUACUAUUCCAUAUGCCUUAAGAAACAUGUUGAUGUACUGAGCCGAUUUACUUGCUGGAAUAAUCUAAAGCUGGAUCUAGGGUGCAGUUCAAGUCUCCAGCCAGUAUUAAAUCAUGUGACUCAAGAUCUGGUAGAAGGAGAAAAACGAUUGGUAAAGAAAGCUACAUUAUCCCAAUUGGGGCCAUAGACAUUAGCAAGAAUGGCUUGCUUAUUGAAAGUUUACUUUGUUUAUUUUGUUUAUUUUCGUUUAUUUUGUUGCGUUUAACUGGUCCUAGCCUCCAAAUCCUCGCAUUGUGCCUUUAGCAGGGUAAGCUCUUCUUUCACACUGGACAUGUCAGAUUCUAUAGCUGCAAUAGAGUCGGAAUUAGUAGUGACUCCCUUUUCCAACUCAGAUGUGUGGCUUUCAACCUUAUCCAGUCUUUUAUUGAGCCUCUCAACGACAUUACGCA
ensembl:lncRNA